rnacentral:rRNA from 1 species
AAGAUGGCGACCGGCGCACGGGUGAGUAACAUGUAUCCAACCUGCCGAUAACUCCGGAAUAGCCUUUCGAAAGAAAGAUUAAUACCGGAUGGCAUACGAAUAUCGCAUGAUAUUUUUAUUAAAGAAUUUCGGUUAUCGAUGGGGAUACGUUCCAUUAGUUUGUUGGCGGGGUAACGGCCCACCAAGACUACGAUGGAUAGGGGUUCUGAGAGGAAGGUCCCCCACAUUGGAACUGAGACACGGUCCAA